CUCCCGUGGUGACUUCACCUCCACAAACCGCGCCUGCACUGGUCCGUGGCCACCGGCUGCUCCUGGUGCAGAUGGCCGUGCUCCUGAGGAAGCAGCUGCUCUGCACGUGCAGAACCUGGAAGAGCACGGCCUGUGACCUGCUGCUGCCCGUCCUCUUCGUGGCCUUGGCCAUGGGCUUGUUCAUGGUGCAGCCUCUGACCACUGACCAAUGACACCAGGCCACUAUGAGAGGGCAGAGAUGUACUUUUUCAGCCUUGGUGGCUGGUCUUUCGGAGUGCGGGUCCUGGGCAGAGCUCAAGACGUGAAUGAGAGCGCCACAAAACCGAGAGCGCCACAAAACCAAGACCUCCAGCAAAGGAGAAUCCUGAGUUGAAGGCCUGCAUGGGAUACACAGUGAGACUGUGGGGAAGGGU